rnacentral:rRNA from 1 species
UACGGAGGGUGCUAGCGUUGUUCGGAAUUACUGGGCGUAAAGGGCGCGUAGGCGGCCGUUUGCGUCGGAUGUGAAAGCCCAGGGCUCAACCUCGGAACGGCAUUCGAUACGGGACGGCUGGAGACCGGGAGAGGAGAGUGGAAUAGCCAGUGUAGAGGUGAAAUUCGUAGAUAUUGGCUGGAACACCGGUGGCGAAAGCGGCUCUCUGGCCCGGUUCUGACGCUGAGGCGCGAAAGCGUGGGGAGCAAACAGG